AAAAAAAAGGCUUCAGAUAUGUUCAAGCAAGGAUCUACUAGAGCAGUUUUUAACCCCCUACAUGUUGAAAGUUGUUUUCUUUUUCUGAUUGUAGCCAUUUAUCCAUCCUUCAAUCAGCUUGAUUUCGGUUGUCCUCUGCUCUACCAACCAAUCAGGAUCCUCAGGUGUUGAAGGACGCAAGUCUAUGUGAUGAGCCCCUGAUACAUGGUAAAAAGAAUGAUAUAUUAUUUUCACCAGAAAAAUAUUCUCCUCAUUUUAGCUGCUUAGUUAUGAACACACCUAGCACAAGAUCAACUCAAGUAAGCCUCAACCAUAAUUUGAUUGCGGUACCUAAUAAGAAAUCAUACUGACUAAUUUAUCACAUGCAGAAAUGCAAAAAAGUUAUUGCAGUCUCACUGGGAUAGCAUAAGGAAGCAUGUCACACUAGCACAGAAUUAUAACUAAAUGUAAAUGGUCAAACAGAUUUUAUCCUAAAAACAAACUCAAUCAACUCACAAAUAGCACUGACAACUCAAAACUGGAUUGAAAGUUUGACAAAUCUUCCUAAGUUAUAGACCUCUCAAGAGAUUGACAGGAGGUGAAUCUAAAAUGUGACAAAAGGAUAUGAAAUUAUAAUGUCCACCAUCAUAAAUCAGCCAGCCAUUCAGGAGGUUAUUUUCUAGCACAUUCUGCAGUAUGAACUUUAUGAAUUAGUACCAAGCAUGCCGGUAGGGCUAGGGAAGUGGACAAGUUUGCCAAAACUGCCAAACUGGAAUAAACUGAAUGAGUUGAUUUUUAUAUUUUAUAACACAUCCAAUAUCUGAUUUAAAGAAAUAGGCUGACUCAUAAGGGUCUUAUAGAUACAAUAGUUAAAACAGAAAUAGGCUUACAAGGCCCAAACUAUUAGAAACUAAACAAGAUCAUAUUAUUGCUAUUAUUUAAUUUGCAAAAAAAAAAUCCCAAUCAGUUGGAAAAAUUUAGAGACUAUAAUU
rnacentral:misc_RNA from 1 species